rnacentral:rRNA from 1 species
UCGGAUUGUAGUCUGCAACCCGACUACAUGAAGCUGGAAUCGCUAGUAAUCGCGGAUCAGAAUGCCGCGGUGAAUACGUUCCCGGGUCUUGUACACACCGCCCGUCACACCAUGGGAGUCGGAAAUGCCCGAAGUCUGUGACCUAACCGUAAGGAAGGAGCAGCCGAAGGCAGGUCGGAUGACUGGGGUGAAGUCGUAACAAGGUAUC